rnacentral:lncRNA from 1 species
GACUGCUGGGCAUGCAUGAAGUUAAGGGCAAGAAACAGUAUGCCAUGUGUUCUGUACCAUCAUGUGUCUCUUCUUGCUUCUGGGCCCUUCUACUGGUGAACUUUAAUCAAGAUCUGCGCCAUGCCGUGUCACUGUCAAGCCAUUAAGUUUUGUCUGGGUUGCUGUCAGCCCCAGUUGGCUUCGUGGUCAACAAGGACCUCAAGAACUGCCUGUGGACCGAGGCCCCCUACCAGUGCAUGAGACACACACCUACCCUCCCCAGCUUUCCAGGAACCCUACUGGCUGCCAGACUGAUGGGCGGGCUGGUAUGUGUGGACAUGUGUUCACUCUCUUUAUGCUGUGGUUCCAGAUGGAAGCUAAGGCAGAAACAUGAAGAGCAUGUGGAUUGGACAAUAAAAGUGGGAAGAAGACAAUGGGGAAUACACGUGUUUGGGCAAGGGGGUCACCCAACAAAGAGAGGUGCUCUGUUAAUUUUGGGGGAGAAACACUGAAUGCCAAGCAGGAGACAACCAAAAAUAAACUUCACUGCCUUCUCAGUUUUACCAAAGACUAAUAAGGCUUCUGGGGAUCUUCAGAGAUAGCGUGUAUAAGACCCCUCUGGGUUAUAUUCGACACCCCAGGUAUUAAUCCC